AUGACAACCAACUAUAAUAAUGUCUGGUCCGGUCCUAAAUUAGAUGGAAAGCUUGAUUUCAAUUAUUGGGAAAAAUUGAUGUCUACCCAUUUGAAAGUUCAUAGUAUUUGGAACUUCAUUGAACCUGGCUUAGAAGAAGUUGUUGAUGAUGUCGCUAAAAGGAAGGAUCAAUUAGCACUAUCACAAAUUUAUCAAGGAGUAGACUUUUCAAUUUUUGGAAAAAUAGAAGAUGCUAAAAAUGCUAAGGAUGCAUGGGACAAAUUGAAACUAUCGUGCAAAUGA